GGCUCGAUGGCGGACGGUCCGUGUCUGCACUGCAUACGUGUUCAGCGCUUCGCCCGCAGAAGAUCCCCGUUCGAUUCGGGGUCGAGCCA